rnacentral:rRNA from 1 species
GUGGGGAAUUUUGGACAAUGGGCGCAAGCCUGAUCCAGCAAUGCCGCGUGCAGGAAGAAGGCCUUCGGGUUGUAAACUGCUUUUGUACGGAACGAAAAGGCUCUGGCUAAUACCUGGAGCUCAUGACGGUACCGUAAGAAUAAGCACCGGCUAACUACGUGCCAGCAGCCGCGGUAAUACGUAGGGUGCGAGCGUUAAUCGGAAUUACUGGGCGUAAAGCGUGCGCAGGCGGUGCUGUAAGACAGGCGUGAAAUCCCCGGGCUCAACCUGGGAAUUGCGCUUGUGACUGCAGCGCUGGAGUGCGGCAGAGGGGGAUGGAAUUCCGCGUGUAGCAGUGAAAUGCGUAGAUAUGCGGAGGAACACCGAUGGCGAAGGCAAUCCCCUGGGCCUGCACUGACGCUCAUGCACGAAAGCGUGGGGAGCAAACAGGAUUAGAUACCCUAGUAGUCC